rnacentral:rRNA from 1 species
GUGGGGAAUCUUGCGCAAUGGGCGAAAGCCUGACGCAGCCAUGCCGCGUGAAUGAUGAAGGUCUUAGGAUUGUAAAAUUCUUUCACCGGGGACGAUAAUGACGGUACCCGGAGAAGAAGCUCCGGCUAACUUCGUGCCAGCAGCCGCGGUAAUACGAAGGGGGCUAGCGUUGCUCGUAAUUACUGGGCGUAAAGGGCGCGUAGGCGGACAGUUUAGUCAGAGGUGAAAGCCCAGGGCUCAACCUUGGAAUUGCCUUUGAUACUGGCUGUCUUGAGUACGGGAGAGGUGAGUGGAACUCCGAGUGUAGAGGUGAAAUUCGUAGAUAUUCGGAAGAACACCAGUGGCGAAGGCGACUCACUGGCCCGUUACUGACGCUGAGGCGCGAAAGCGUGGGGAGCAAACAGGAUUAGAAACCCGGGUAGUCC